UAGACACCGGUGGACAGCAGCAUGCAGCUUAAAAGCACGUAUCCUUAAAUGAAGAUUUUGAAAAGAGUGGGGGAGGAAAGGCAGUGAAGAGGGAAGUCAAGACGGACUUAUUCCUGCUUGAUUUCAAGAUGAAAAGACUGUUCAUCCCUGAAAAUUCCACGGGGAAUCAGAGGGAGGGAGAGAAACAAGUCCUUGUUUGUACAGAACUGUUCACAAAUGUUAUAUCAUGGGGUCAGA
rnacentral:lncRNA from 1 species